rnacentral:rRNA from 1 species
UAAGGAAUUUUCGGCAAUGGGGGAAACCCUGACCGAGCAACGCCGCGUGAGUGAUGAAGGCCUUUGGGUUGUAAAGCUCUGUUGUAAAGGAAGAAUAUGUAAGAUAGGAAAUGAUCUUACCUUGACGGUACUUUACUAGAAAGUCACGGCUUACUACGUGCC